rnacentral:tRNA from 2 species
GCCGCGAUCGCUUAGUUGGUUAAAGCAAGGGUCUCAUAGCAACACAUCCAGAACUGUGAGCCUUGAUAUGUAAAGGUGUAAUCCCUAGCCCAGAGUUCGAGCCUCUGUCAUGGCA